rnacentral:rRNA from 1 species
UACGAAGGGGGGCUAGCGUUGUUCGGAAUUACUGGGCGUAAAGCGCACGUAGGCGGAUACUUAAGUCAGGGGUGAAAUCCCGGGGCUCAGCCCCGGAACUGCCUUUGAUACUGGGUAUCUCGAGUCCGGAAGAGGUGAGUGGAAUUCCGAGUGUAGAGGUGAAAUUCGUAGAUAUUCGGAGGAACACCAGUGGCGAAGGCGGCUCACUGGUCCGGUACUGACGCUGAGGUGCGAAAGCGUGGGGAGCAAACAGG